ACAGGGGAGCUCGUGGAGCGGGCUGAGAGGAAGUUGUGGACUUCGACCCUUUGACCUGAUGUGGGUAAUGCCACCGUAGGAAAAAGCGUUUU
rnacentral:ncRNA from 1 species